CAGAGCAGGUGCCGGAAGUGUCGGAAGCGGAUCCCGGCGCGGCGAAGGGGCGCUGCAGCCGCGCCGCUCCCAGCCUGCCCCGCUCCUUGCCGGGGUCGCCUGCGCCCGGCGCAGGGAAGAUGUUGCCUUUAUCCAUCAAGGACGAUGAGUACAAACCGCCUAAGUUCAACCUGCUCAGCAAGGUCUCGGGCUGGUUCAGGUCCAUCCUGUCCGACAAGACCUCGCGGAACCUGUUCUUCUUCCUCUGCCUCAACCUCUCCUUUGCCUUCGUGGAGCUGCUCUACGGCAUCUGGAGUAACAGUUUAGGUCUAAUAUCAGAUUCCUUUCAUAUGUUCUUUGACUGUACUGCUCUACUGGCCGGAUUAGCAGCUUCAGUCAUUUCAAAGUGGAGAUCAAAUGAUGCUUUCUCAUAUGGGUAUGUUCGAGCAGAGGUACUGGCUGGCUUUGUAAAUGGUCUGUUUCUGAUCUUCACAGCAUUCUUCAUUUUCUCUGAAGGCGUUGAGAGAGCAUUGGAGCCUCCUGAUGUGCAUCAUGAGAGACUUCUUCCUGUGUCUAUAUUAGGAUUCCUUGUGAAUCUUAUAGGAAUAUUUGUUUUUCAACAUGGAGGCCACGGACACUCACAUGGCUCUGGGCAUGAGCACAGUCAUUCUCUAUUUAAUGGUGUUCUCAGCCAUGGACACAGUCACGGAGGUCACGGUCACACCCAUGAAUCCAAACAUGGCCAUGGGCAUUCUCAUGAUCACAGUCAUGGGAAGGGACACUCGCACAAUCAGGAGUAUUGUCAUGAUGAUCACUCGCUUGAAGGGGCUGCAGGAUCUAACAGACAGAUUUUAGAAGGUGUAUUUUUACACAUUGUCGCAGACACUCUUGGAAGUGUUGGUGUAAUCAUAUCAGCUAUACUGAUGCAGAACUAUGGUCUAAUGAUAGCAGAUCCUAUCUGUUCAAUGCUCAUAGCUCUACUCAUAGGAAUAAGUGUUGUUCCACUUUUAAGAGAGUCCAUUGGAAUCUUAAUGCAGCGAACUCCACCUUCCCUGGAAAGUGCCCUGCCUCAGUGCUAUCAGAGGGUUCAGCAGUUGCAAGGAGUUUACAGUUUACAUGAUCCACACUUCUGGACCCUUUGUAGUGACGUUUACAUAGGGACCUUGAAACUAUUUGUAGCUCCUGAUGCUGACGCCAAGUGGAUUCUAAGCCAAACUCACAAUAUUUUUACUCAGGAUCAACUUCAGUGAGAUCAGCAACAGAAAGAGACAAGAUGAUGAAGGAAGGGAGUUUUAUUCAAGCCCAAAUAUUUAUGAUGUCAGUGAGGAAAACAGGAAUUGCCUGGGCAGGAGUCAGACAGCUUUAUGUACAGAUUGACUUUGCAGCCAUGUAGUGAACAUCAUAAAUUGAGUUCUUUGGACCAAAGUUUUCUGGUACUGUAAUGGUAUAAAACAUUGUACUCUUCAAGACAGAGCCACCGCCACCCUGGUUAACCAAGACCAAAUAGACUGCUGCCUUUUGGCUACUUCUAGAGUUCACGUUUAAGGAGUAAAAACUGAAAGGACGCGUCUUGGACUUCUGGGCUUGUCUUUUGUGGCCCCCAAACUUUUUUUUCAUUUUGUGAGGGCUUUUUUUUUUUUACUUACUACAAUUGUUCCAACAGGAAACUAAGAUCGUGGGACUGCAAGUCCUGGUCAUGUCUUUAAUGAAGGGCUUGUCCAAACAAAAAAAAUUAGUUCAUAGCAAGCUGGGGCAUGAAUCUACUCUACACUAGCCUGUGGCAGACUAACUGCCCAUGUGGCUCCUGCCUUUAUGUAUUAACGGUUUGCUAGUGCACUUUGAUCUAGUCCUGUUCUAAAGAGGACUAGAUCUAAGCAUGUGUCAGCAGGGUCCAUAUUGACAGUUAGUCUCUAGCAAGCCAGCCGAGUAGAUUCACACCCCAGCUUGCCGCAAACUAACUGUUCACAUAAACAAGCCUGAAAGCUGCUCGUUCCCACAAAACCAGUGUUAUCAGAAAUUAGAGAGCGGUCUUGUACAUAAUGUCACAAUGGGUGGCAUUCUUCGUUAUAAUCGUAUGUUUGUAAAAUUGUUUGUACUUUGCAAACUUAAUGAACCAAACCAUAUUGGGGUUUCAAAGUGCCUUUAUAUCAGAAAAAGUAUUUGCCAGCAUCAACAUGGAACAUGAAGGGUUUUUAUUACUUUUAUGGCUACAGCUUGUUCACAACCUUAUUCUUGCUAGUGAUGUUAUGUGACUGUGUACUUGCGUAAUUGUAGAUUUUAGACUCCCUUUUACUGUUGCAUCUUAUCAAAUGAACUGGAGUGAAUUCUGUUUAAUUUACAUUACAAGUUAAAGCUAUUGUGGGAAACUUGCUUUCAAAACAUCUGUCUAUUUGCUAUAUAUAUAUAUAUUGUCCUAAGAGUUGUUUUAACCAAAUUAAACAUUCAACCCUGGGUCUAAGUCUAUGAAUGAAAGUUUCUCAAUACUGUUAUAGUAAUUGGAAAUUGUAUUGCAAUAACCAUGUUCAUAAACUCACCAUGCAAAAGAGAGAGGCAGUUGCAGCAUAAUCAUAGUAAUGGAAGAGCUGUUUUGCUUUUAUCGUUCAAAUACGGACUUAAUCUUUUUUUUAAACUUUGCUGUGAAAAUUAGUCUACUAGGUUUUAAUAGACUAUUAAAGAGGUUGGAAGUAGUUACUAUGUUUAACUAAACGGGGGGAGAGGAGCUGUUCCUGGCAAAUGUAUCUGCAGUGGAAAUGAGGACUACUAGAUGUGCUAUGUAAGGUCAUAUUCUCUUAGUUCACAUGUUUGAUUCUGACAUGAGCAUGAUCUCUCUUAUCCAUGUCUUGUGUGCGCGCGCGCGCACACACACACACACAGAUUUGUCCAUAGAGCGCUUUCCAGAAACAUCCAUAGACCAUAUUUUUACUGGCAUUUACAUUUUGAACUCAAAAUGAGUGUUAAAUUCCUGAGACAAUCCUACAACACUGUAGAUGCAAUGCUUCCACAAAAAUUAAUUAUGACAAUUAUCAGUGCAAAAUUACUGUAGUCUCUCAUUCUGUUUGAAUUCAGAGACUGAACAGUAAAGAUCCCACAAAUGUAUCUUUGAUUUCCACAUCUGAAGCUGUUGGUUAGUCUGACUAGGACAUAGAGCAAGAAAAAGGAAGUCUCCUUUUUAUUAAUAGGAACUAAAUUGGCUGUUUGAGGGGAAACUGUUGAAUUAAUAAAUUUAUACUUAAUGUACAAUGUUUAGUGGAGUAAAACAAGACAAGGAUGCUUACUUGAAAAAUCAAAUGUGCUGCUGACUGGUAUGAAUUCUAGGUAUUUUUCUGAUGCAGAUAUCAGUGUCCUUGUAACUGAUUAAAUACCCAGUAAUGGGGUAGUACUAAAAUCAAAGAGUAUUGUAGUUCUAAUCGGUUCAACUUUAGUCACAGUUGAUGAGCAUUGAGUAUGAUAGACACUAUAGAAAUACCUAAGAUUGAAUUGCAGGGAUGGUUUGUAUAGUGCAAUGGUUUUGCUGCAGAUGUUACUGCAUUAUUGCAAUUUACAGGGAUAAGCAGCUUCUUAGAUUCAGUUUUAUUCCUUCUGUAUGACUCACUUUGUAUUUUUAUAUAUAUAAAUGCUGCUUAAUUGCUAGUCUGUGCCUUGAGUUGAGCUCACCAGAUCGAUGCAGAUAGAUUAUUAGGGUUGGAAGGGACCUCAGGAGAUCUAGUCCAACCCCCUGCUCAAAGCAGGACUAAGCCCCAAAUGGCCCCCUCAAGGAUUGAACUCACAACCCUGGGUUUAGCAGGCCAAUGCUGAAACCACUGAGCUAUCCCUCCUGUCCCCUGAUAUACGAGUGCUGAAUGAACUAAUAAUUUUUAAUUUGUACAAAGCUGUGAUUCAAACCCCCAAGGUAAGACCUCUUCCAUGGCUUCUGUAAUGUCAUGCACAUACAUGGACUGUGGGUAUUGUCUUUUGUUUGGGAAGUCUUUAACACAGGCAAUAAUGCAACAAUCCGCUUAUCUUAAGGAUGGUGGUCUCUGUCACUUUGAGCCACCAUUUUAAAAGGAAGACCCAGCCUCUUUCACCUAAAUUGUACAAGCCAUAACUUCAAACUGACUUUUUGGGGUGAUUUUGUCUCCCAGACUUACAGGUUUGAUUUGUUUCUGGGCUGCUGAGCUAAGCUUCUUAAUCAUCUUAAACUACUUUUAAUACUAGCCAAAUUAUUGGGGUAAGCUGCUUAUUGUGAAUGUUUUAGCUGAAUGUUAGUGGGAUGCUUUUUCAGUAGCUGUGAUUUGCUAAAUGUCUUACUGCAAGUGAGCAAUUGCUUGGAUGUUACUGUUUUUGUUUUUUUUCUUGUGUAUUUUAAAAGGACUCAGGAUUGUCAUAUGGCUAAUCUUCCUUGCCAAGACCAGUAUUUGACAGCAUAAUCCGUUUUCUGCACACUGACCUUUAAUGAAAAUUGUUCUUUAAACUACUUGUAACAAAGAUUAAAUUUCUUUCUUGCCUAGGAAGAUCUUUAAUUUGAGACUCGGGGCAGAAAUCAGGCCUAUAGUGUCUUGCUCAUGAGAAAUGCACAUAUUUUUACAAUCAAGAUGAGUCUUAAUCACGUUUGGGAUGGCUUUUACAUUUAAUAGCAAGAUGUACAUAACUACAACAUUUGUUUUUUGUAAAAUGUAAUUUAAAUGUGGUGGUAGUGUAUGGAAGUCAGUUGUUUGCUGUCAAGCAACAGGAUUGUGUUGACAUUUCAAGUACAUGACUUUUUGGCUGAGUAGAUUUAUUUGAAAAGAAUGUGCGAGUAAAUUGGUCAAAAGACAGUAGAUGGCAUACCCUGCAUUUUAAGUUGGUGUAAAUUUACUCCCGUAGCAUGAAGUCCAAGCAGCAUUGUUUGGGUAAUUCUCAUGCUAUUGCUUGGGCAGCAUGGAGGCCAACAAAUGCAUUAUGUGUCUUCAGGAUGCUCUGUCCUGAGCUAACUCUGGUCUAUUAUGGGGUAGGAUGCCUGUGAGGGACAGGUGUCAGGCUGUCCAGCCAUCGUGUUUUAGGUCUUCCAGGAAGUCUCUCACCCUGCUUCCAAACAGCAUAGCAACAUUAUUUUUUCCCCCUAGUAAUGAACUACUAGGUGAGCUGGAAUUAUUGAAGACUGUAGAUCAUGUGACUAAUAUAAACCCCUGAACGUUGAACCAUCAAGGACUACUUACAACUGUUUUGUUUCAAAUGACACUAGAUUCUGCUUCUAAUAUACUAAUGGAGGUGUUAGUAAUCUCUUAACUUCAUCCUGAAUCCCUGCAGAAGAUGGUCCAUUUUAAGAGUGAUUGGGGGGUAGAGGGGAGAAACUUGCUAAAUUUCACUUUUCUAAUUGACAAACCUGAUGACAGUCAAAAUCUCAUCUAACUCUCCAUGAAGACAUAACAGCAAGGUGCUACAGUGAAUCUCAUUACUAGAAAUGUGUAUAAGAUUACUACCUACAAUGUUGCUUAGCAUUGAACAUAACAUGGCAGAAAAUAGGCCUUCCACUGAAGUUUACAAUCUGAUCCUAUAAGCAGUUAAACAUGAAUAAAGUUACACACUGUGUGUGAGUGGGCCUCAAGUGGG